AUAGAUAGAUAGAUAGAUAGAUAGAUAGAUAAGUAUAUAUAAGUAUAGAUAGAUAGAUAGAUAGAUAGAUAAGUAUAUAUAAGUAUAGAUAGAUAGAUAGAUAAGUAUAUAUAAGUAUAGAUAGAUAGAUAGAUAGUUAGAUAGAUAGAUAGAUAGAUAGAUAGAUAGAUAGAUAGAUAGAUAGAUAG